AAGGUUUUCUCACAGUAGGUGGUGAUAUAGUGAAACAAGGAUUUGCUUCUAAGUUGCUGGGAGGAUGAAACCUCCAGAAAGACUGAUAGUUGAACGCAGGCAAGUGAGAGAUUAAAAAAAAUGAACUAAAAUACAGAGUUUAUUUCCACUUCACAUUCUGCUUUUGUUGAAACAUGUUUCUCAGGAAUCAGUUUAGAUGCAGCAUUUUGAAUUUAACAGCUUUCCCCGCAGAUUGUCAUGAGUUACACUGUGCUGUGAAACAGGUCCUGGAGACUUAAAACCUGAAAAGGUACAGGGAAAUUUGCUGUACAAUGUGAAGCACUUGACUUUUCAAACUAUAUGUUAGAAGAAAUAUCUUUUUGCUUGGUUCUCCUAAAUCUAAUGCACAGUCUAUGUAAUAGGAAGCUACACUUUUGAUUACAUGAGUUUAAUUUGUGUUAAUGAAUAUGGAAAGAAAGCCCCCCUUGUAUUUACCUUCAGGUGAAUAUGCUAUGGAUCCUUGUGGAGAAUGUUCCACCUGCAUUUGUUGCAUGAAAAGAAGCACGGUAUCAAGCUCCUACAAGUACAGUCACGUACAGUGAGUCUCUGAGUGUCUCUGAAGUACUGAGAGGUGGUAUGUUUUUAAAUUCUAUUUUAUUCAUUUAAUUAUUGUUAUUUUUAUGUGGACUUGCUUCAGAAAACUAUUAUUAAUUGUACUAAGUCAUUUAUGGCUUCAGCUUUUUAAAGUAAGCCUACUGAGACAAAAAUUUUCCCAUGGCUUUUAUUAAUUGGCAAAGCAAAGCAGUCUUAUGUGUUUAUAAUCAGUCAACUAAUUCGUCAUCCUAUAUGAUGGUUUAUUAAAAGCAAUCUGAAUUCUAUCACUAAAUAAUAUUCUGAGAUCAAUUGAAAUGUCACAAUAACAAGAUGAGUUAGCUGGGAAAUCCUAGCACAAAUUUUAUCAUUAUGAGAACAGUCAUUUCUGUUAAACUAACAAUUUUAUGCUUUUUACAAAUUUUUACACUUGGAUUUUGUUUCAACCAACAAACAAACCAAAAAGAGGUAUUUAUUACUAGGGUUGUUCAAAACACUCUAUUUUUUUGCAAAAAGGGAAUCUCUUCUUACGUCUUGUUUUGUCCUGGGAGAAAUCUCUGCACUCUGCUGUCAUAGCUGGAUCUCUUCGUCUUGGCAAUUUUCUCUCUCUCCUACGUUGCACUAUGGCAGGUGUGAACUGAUGUGCAACCUGGCUUAUGAAAAAACCCUGACAGUCUUUUGAACACUGAUAAUGUCAUACGAUGCCCUGCAUUGUAUGUGUGUGCAAGGUUUAUGUUAACUGGUUACCAGAGGCUUUUUCUUUUUGUCUUUGCUGAAUUCUUCUUGUUUUCAGUAAGACAAUUAACCAUGGUGCAGGAUUAUUUGUGGUCUACUAGUCUUUCAAUAGAAAUUUUAUUUUUCCAAAGUUUGAAAAGUUGUUGCUAAAAUAAAACUGAUAUACCCUGACAGAUUAUAGAAACAUGAAAAGCUUCACCAUGGUGAUCAGAUGGUCCACGUAAGCCAUUUGUAUCGUGUUUUCAGACCGAAAUCCAUUAUGAGCUCAACUUGCAGGUAUUCCCAGUCUGCAGGUCUUCCAGAAACGGAGCAAGGCAUCCCAGUGCUACUCAGUUUGAUGAGUGA
ensembl:lncRNA